ensembl:lncRNA
GAUCCGUAGUCCAUGACCUCACUGGGUUUUAGUUGGAUUGUAUGAUGGUCUUUUUCUGAUUGGUGGACAGUACUAUAGUCAAAAUCAACAGUGAUGUUUGAUUGGACAAGGUGGUAAUCCAGCUCUGAGAUGAUGAGUAAUUGGUCAACUGUGUGAUUGCUGUGGGUCCAUGCUGAGGGGUGAUUGGUUGACUGUGAUUUCUGUGGUUUGUGCUGAGAGGUGAUUGGUUGACUGUGUGAUUGCAGAAGUCUGUGCUGAGAGGUGAUUGGUUGAGUCUUUGAUUCGUGAUCUCUGUGCUGAGAGUUGAUUGGUCGACGGCUUUGACGCAACUGUAGUCUGAGAUCUCUGCAGAACCCCGAACGGAACCCUACCGGUCCACAGAACCCCAAA